UACGUAGGGGGCGAGCGUUGUCCGGAUUUAUUGGGCGUAAAGAGCUCGUAGGCGGUUUGGUAAGUCGGGUGUGAAAUCUCCACGCUCAACGUGGAGGGGCCACUCGAUACUGCCAUGACUCGAGUCCGGUAGAGGAGUGUGGAAUUCCCGGUGUAGCGGUGAAAUGCGCAGAUAUCGGGAGGAACACCCGUAGCGAAGGCGGCACUCCUGGGCCGGAACUGACGCUGAGGAGCGAAAGCAUGGGGAGCGAACAGG
rnacentral:rRNA from 1 species